UAUGUCUGCAAAACAAGGCAUGUAAGUUGCUAUGUAAAAGCAGAAUCUUUGAUUUUAAAUAUCAUUCACAGGAAUGCUUGUUUACUUAAUUAUUCCUAGCCUUUCCUACUUGGAAGCAAAAUACAGUGGGGUCAGAUUCAGUCACAGCUCAAGAUAACAUAACUAAGAUUAGUUCACUGUGAUUACAUUAGUGCGGACACUUUGAAAUCUCAAGACAAAAGCUUGUAGUACAGAUUAUUGCAAGUGAAAAACCCCACCAUACCACUGUGUGGCACGCAAGAACAGAGGUCUUUCUCUGCUGCAGCCACCCACCCUCCAGCAACUUCUCCCUUGCUAGAGAGAUUAAUGUAAUUUUCCCAUUCAGGUGAAUGUUUAUCCCUCUUGGAAGGCCAUAAAAACUUCCUCCUCUGCAGCAGUGAAUGUAGUUUGAAACAAGAGGAUCCUUUCUUUUCCUUUGUUUCAGUGAUAAUAUAUUCCUUUGGCACAAGAGGAAGGCAGUUUCCCUGUGGCCACACUAGCACACAGCUUGUCCCAUUGGCUGCACUCAGAGACAGGAGGAGAUUUCUUCCCUCUUGAUGCAGCACCAGCUAAACACAAGGGCUGCACUAUUAACAAAUUUCUCUUUUCCACAGAUCCUCUUUUACUAUAAAAAGCCUUCCCUGGGGUCUUACCAAGGACCAAUCUGGAGUUACCAAUUUUUUGAUAAAAAGAUAAAAAUUGCAUUUAUAGAGACAACAGAUAUUCAUAUAAACACAGACUCCCAGAUAUCUUUGGAUGUCAUAGAAUAAUAUCUUUCUAUGACAGACUUCCAGAUAUCUUUGGAUGUCAUAGAAAAUGGAAUUCCUUCCUUUCUUGACCUGCCUCUAAACUUGAAAAUAAUUUCCAGAAAUAAGGAAGUUUUUGGUUAUUCUACAAACUUGUAAGAUACUACCACCAAAGCAAAAUGAACAAAGACUCUACUUCAGAAAAUGUAAGAUCAUAAUUUUAUGUGUGGCCCACAGAGCCUUGAAUUUGGGUUAGCCUUUGAAAGGAUUUACCGCUCAUGCUGAUGGAACAGCCUCAGAGCCUGGAUGCACAGAAAUCUCAAUGCCUAUUGCAAAUGUACCUCCUAUUAAAAUUAGUUUCACUUGAGAAUUCUUGUUCAGAAACAAGUUAAUUGCACUUAAACAGUGAAAACUUGCAGCUCAGGAUAAAACUCAGCCUCAAGCACCAAAGCAGUUAAAUUACACUGCGAAUGCCAGUGAUCCCGUUUAGCAAUCAGCUAGAAGCAAAGAAAUAAAGCUUUAAUCCUGGUCUCAACCCCUUGUCCUUCAGUGGACAGACCAGUGCCAGAACAGGCAGGAGCAUCUGUAAGAAAACAGUGACAGCCUCAGAGCUGUCACAAAAGUGAGGUUAACCCUGGCCUCAGGGACAAGACUGUCCCCUCUCCAGUUCUUUCCAAGGGAGGGGAGAACCACUCCUCCUCAAGAGCCCACCUCCUCAAAUCUGUCACUCCUUUCUCUUAAGAUAGGACACCAAAAGUGAGAACCACUGGGGUACUUGUGUUGUAUUCCAUACAAUAAUGUAGGGGGAUGCCACUUGAUGGUAGAAAAAGUUGUAUCAUAUUAAGCCUCAGUGCAAGCAACUAGCCAUCCAUCAGGAUGGUAUAGCUUCACAGCACAUUAAAGCAUACGAGUUGCUUUGCAAGUUAAGCCUCAGGUUUGUAAUAGCCUUUUCACAGGCUGAAAUCCCAGGACUGUCAACUCUUCCACCUAGAAAGAGAAUAUUAGUAUUUUGCAGGUAGUUUUCAUGCUCAUUUCUAACAGGAUAUAACUUUAAAAAUAAAAGGCAUCUUUCUGUGUGUGAUUCCAAAGUAUUUUCUUUAAAGGGGAAGGAGAUAGAUUUUAUUUUCACCUUCUACUUGCUUUGAAAGCUGAGAUGAACAAAUAACUGGGAAAACUAAAGCAAACCUAAAGCAAUCCCCCAAAUUCCAUAUGCAUGUACAUGUUUAUACACAUAGAUCUGGGUGCAUGAUACUGUAUUAACACUCCAUAGGAAUAAUUUCCUGUUCCUUAUAUUGAGUAGAAUAUGCAAGACUUCAAUACAAUACUUCCAGGCCUCAAAACAAUACUUCAAGUCUUCAAUACUCUUGCAGAUUAGACAGCAAUUUGAUUGGGAUCAAGGCCACAAGAGCACAGAAGGUCUUGCAGAUAUUGCAUGAACCAUGAUGCAAUCCUGUGCAGGAGUCCAAGUGGACAUUCAGACACUGCACACUUCUCCCUGAGUACCAGUUACACUCUCCAUGUUCCUUUCCCCAUUAAUGUGUUCUCUGACAAGGUCCCAGCCACAGCUCUUGGAUAGGUGAAAGCAGAAGAGAGAGACAUCAGAAAGUCUGAGCUCAGUUUGUAGGGGCUUAUCCAUCUGACAGACAGCCUCACCCUAAUGGUAAAUCAUAUCACAUUUGGCCAGUAACCUCAGGGGCAAGAUGCCAAAGCACAGAGGAGAUUUCCCCAGCAGCAGAUAGGCUGAUAACUGUUUGUAGCCUUUCCAUUGGCAGCUCCUCAGUUUCACGUCUUACAAGAACAGCUCCCACAGCUGCCUUGCCCUCUCAGAAGCUAGAUGGUUGACUGACACCCUAUUAUGUUGCAGGAGAACUGAAUACAGCUUCCUGUCACAGAGGAAAUGUGGAAUGUGUUUGUGCGUCCUCCUUCCUUUUUAUCUUCAAACUUCAAGGCAAAGUCGUACUGCCUGGUCAGCCCUACAAACCCCUUUUUUUUAAAAUUUACCUUUCUUCAUCUUGCACAAACAGCACUUUGAACACUGUUGAAUUGUUGCUCAAAAGGAGAUACAGACAGGAGUUCUAGCUCCCCACAAACAUACAAAACAUUACCCCAACAUGUAAGUGAAGGAAUUUCCAAUCUCUCAUUUAUUCUUACAUACGAUGCAAGUCAGAAUUUAAAGGGCUGAAACUAACAUCAAACCACUGUUUUUCCUUGACACUGAAAUCACAUGGCACCUGUAAUGCACUGAACAUGUCACAACAUGAAAUUUUACACCACUACAGGGCUGCCAUACAUUAGUCAUUAAGAGCUGAAGUUUCUAACAACAUAAGUAUGUGCACUGCUAUCAUCUUUUCUAAUGACACUAAUUGUCUGAAGGCAGUUGGGCAACUUCAUGUGGCAAAAUUUCAUCUUUGCAGUUUAAAGACCUAAUUAAUUAUACAAAUUUCUAAGUCCACAAAUACAAAGAACUUCCAAUGACUUUUCAUGGCAACCACAGAACAUGAUCAAGAUCUGCUGGUGUUACUUGAUCAGAUUCAUGAAGGUCUGAUGAAGGUCUCUGUGACCUUGUACAGGAUGGGACACACUGCUGCUGGAAGAGUUUGUACUCUAUAAGAAUAGAACUCUGUGAGGCAAAUAAAACUUCUAAUCAAAUACCAGCAGCUUCCCACCACCCUCUGUCCAAAUUGCUAGGACUGUGUGGGUUAAAAUUGUUCUUUAUAGGGCUUGGAUAAGUUUGUUAUACACAAACACAUCCUAAAGAGUAAAGAUGGUGAUAGUAAUUCAUUCCCCAUUGCCUAAUAUAAUCUCAGGGGAUCACAACCUGAUAAAAACACAUUAAAAUAUUCCAAAUCCUUUAAAAUAUUAAUAUUGACUUUCUACAAAAGCAUUCGGUCUCUCCAUCUUGGUUAUUAACCAUUUUCGUGACUUCCUGCAUUGUUUCAUAAAAGGUUAUGUCCCAAACUAGCUCUCACUUGUCAGGAAACUCCUAUUUAUUAAAAUAGGAAAGCAGUGAAAAUUUCACAGGAAACAGCUGUCUCACUACUCAUGCAGGACUGCUUUAGAUUACAUUAGAUUACAAGUUGCAAAUAAUUGAUAAACUGUACCAGUAUCACUAAACCAGUUCACCAACACUAAUCAAACAAAAUAAGCAUGUACUGUUGAUAGGUGUAAUUCAGAUAGAUCAGAAAUCUAUCAGUUAAUAGAUUCAGAAAAAAAUCAUUAAUGUGUCAGAUAUUUACAAAUAGAUCCAUUAAACAGCAGAGAAGAGUGUUUGACUUGGAUUCCAGGUUCCAGAGCAAGAAACAAAUAACAAAGUGCUGGUUUCAGUUAAAAUAUAGCAACUUCAUUACAUUCCACUACCUCAGUAAAUUUAAAAUUAUUUCAGGGCUUAUAGAUAGUAUUCCCAGAAUAAUUCAAAUUUCCAUACAAAUUUGCAUUCAAGGAUUUUGAGCAUCAACAACAGUUGAGGUCUGUACUGUACUCAGUUUUACAUAUUGUUUACUGAUCUUUCUAUUUAUGAUUGCUAUUUGAGGGGUCAGCCAGGCCCAGACAAUAUGAGUGCUGUCCAAGAGCAGGCCAAAAUAAGUCCCCUGCCCAGAAGGUCAUGCUGCCAGCAGAUCUGAUCUAAAAAAGACAAGAAAGGCAGGAGCUCAGCAAUCAUUCUGCAGGGGAAAAGCAGCUUCCUCAAAGCUUAGAGCACACUGCAGAUCUUCUCCCUCUGCCUUGGACUUGAGCUAUAGGAUUACAUAUUCUGUGGUGACAGAGUGAACUCUGACAGCCUAAAUCUGAAUAAUCCUGGCCGCAAGAAUCACUUACGUAAUAGAUAAAAAUUUAGAGUACAGCACCAUGGGCUUGGGUUUUUUUUUUCAUGAGCUGUUUUGUGGUUAAGCAAAAUGUUUUCCCUGCCCCAGCAGUAAAGAGCACACACGAGUUGCUGCCGUGACAUCUUGACUAGGCAGCUGAGAUGCUUUGGGAAAACACCUGUGAUGCGAGUAUAUGUUGUGCUUGCAAGCUUUGCCAAAGUAAACCUAUAACCUUUAAUCCAUGUGAGCACUGCACUGCUCAGUCGUUUCUUCUUUCCCAUCUUUUAUUACCAGAUACCCUUACUGCAAAUUGUAGAAUAAAAAGCAAAAAGAUGCAGUUAACCUUAAUGCAGCCCUAUAGGCAGGACUUGCUCAAAAAAAAAAAAAAAAAAA
ensembl:lncRNA